CCUACGGGAGGCAGCAGUGGGGAAUAUUGCGCAAUGGGCGAAAGCCUGACGCAGCGACGCCGCGUGAGGGAUGAAGGUCUUCGGAUCGUAAACCUCUGUCAGCAGGGAAGAACGGUCACUGUGCUAAUCAGCAGUGAAUUGACGGUACCUGCAAAGGAAGCACCGGCUAACUCCGUGCCAGCAGCCGCGGUAAUACGGAGGGUGCGAGCGUUAAUCGGAAUUACUGGGCCGAAAGCGCUCGUAGGCGGUAUGUCAAGUCAAGGGGGAAAUCCCCGCGCUCAACGUGGGAACUGCCUUUGAAACUGGCAAACUGGAGUGUGUGAGAGGAUAGUGGAAUUCCAGGUGUAGGAGUGAAAUCCGUAGAUAUCUGGAGGAACAUCAGUGGCGAAGGCGACUAUCUGGCACAUAACUGACGCUGAGGAGCGAAAGCGUGGGUAGCAAACAGGAUUAGAUACCCGGGUAGUC
rnacentral:rRNA from 1 species